UACGUAGGGGGCAAGCGUUGUCCGGAUUUAUUGGGCGUAAAGAGCGUGUAGGCGGCUUUACAGGUCCGCUGUGAAAGUCGGGGGCUCAACCCUCGAAUGCCGGUGGAUACUGUCGGGCUAGAGUGCGGAAGAGGCGAGUGGAAUUCCUGGUGUAGCGGUGAAAUGCACAGAUAUCAGGAGGAACACCGAUUGCGAAGGCAGCUCGCUGGGACGUCACUGACGCUGAGACGCGAAAGCGUGGGGAGCAAACAGG
rnacentral:rRNA from 1 species